GACGAACGCUGGCGGCGUGCUUAACACAUGCAAGUCGAACGGCAAGGCCCUGCCUUUGUGCGGUGCUCGAGUGGCGAACGGGUGAGUAAUACGUGAGUACCUUGCCUUUGACUUUGGGUUAACUUCAGGAAACUGGGGCUAUUACCGGUACGGAGCUCCUACUGCAUGGUGGGGGUUGGAAAGUUCCGGCGGUUGGGGAUGGCCUCGCGGCUUAUCAGCUUGUUGGGGGUGAAGUGGUAUACCAAGGCUUUGAAGGGUAGCCGGCCUGAGAGGGUGACCGGCCACAUUGGGACUGAGAUACGGCCCAGACUCCUACGGGAGGCAGCAGUGGGGAAUAUUGCACAAUGGGCGGAAGCCUGAUGCAGCAACGCCGCGUGCGGGAUGACGGCCUUCGGGUUGUAAACCGCUUUCGCCUGUGACGAAGCGUGAGUGACGGUAAUGGGUAAAGAAGCACCGGCUAACUACGUG
rnacentral:rRNA from 1 species